UUCAACUUUUAACAAACUUCUUUUUUUAUGUUCUCAGACUUCCAAUCUCAUAGUUUCUUAGUGUCUCAAUCACACUGUUGUUUGUUUUUGUAAUGUAAUUUGUUGCAAUAAAAAUGAUGUUUUGAUUUUUCUGUUGUAGGAAUUAAUAAAAAAUGUAAAAUUACCAGAUUUUAAUACCUAAUUUUUAAAAUUUGUAGCCCAAAAUUUCCUAAAAAAAUCAAGCUACAAACAGUCAUUUCCGUGCGGUUGUGUGACGUGUUAUGUCAUGACGUGAAACUCGAAAUUGAUUUGUUUUUGUGUUUAUUGUUCAAAUCUCGUCAUGAAGGAAUUUUUUCUUUCGUGUAAGAAACACUCAAAAGCGGCGGACAGUGGCGGUGACCAACCACCACAAGACAACAAAUUGCUCAUAAUUUCACUCAUAGCAGUUGCGGCCGCUGUUACUUUACUUCUUGCGUACUGUUGUCUCGGAGGGAAUGAAGGAGGAGGUUCAUCAGGCUCUUCACAAAGGCGAACAGAGGAAGCACCGCCAGCUGAGUCAGGUGGUGGUGAAACAGAACAAGCCUAAUUUAUGCCCAUUUGUUGUCAAAAAUUAUAUUUUGUGAAGCGGAAUAUAAAAAACGGAGAACA